GUGCCAGCAGCCGCGGUAAUACGUAGGGAGCGAGCGUUGUCCGGAUUUACUGGGCGUAAAGGGAGCGUAGGUGGAUAUUUAAGUGGGAUGUGAAAUACUCGGGCUUAACCUGGGUGCUGCAUUCCAAACUGGAUAUCUAGAGUGCAGGAGAGGAAAGUAGAAUUCCUAGUGUAGCGGUGAAAUGCGUAGAGAUUAGGAAGAAUACCAGUGGCGAAGGCGACUUUCUGGACUGUAACUGACACUGAGGCUCGAAAGCGUGGGGAGCAAACAGGAUUAGAAACCCUAGUAGUCCAAU
rnacentral:rRNA from 1 species